rnacentral:rRNA from 1 species
UUAAGCGACUAAGCGUACACGGUGGAUGCCCUGGCAGUCAGAGGCGAUGAAGGACGUGCUAAUCUGCGAUAAGCGUCGGUAAGGUGAUAUGAACCGUUAUAACCGGCGAUUUCCGAAUGGGGAAACCCAGUGUGAUUCGUCACACUAUCAUUAACUGAAUCCAUAGGUUAAUGAGGCGAACCGGGGGAACUGAAACAUCUAAGUACCCUGAGGAAAAGAAAUCAACCGAGAUUCCCCCAGUAGCGGCGAGCGAACGGGGAGGAGCCCAGAGCCUGAAUCAGUGUGUGUGUUAGUGGAAGCGUCUGGAAAGGCGCGCGAUACAGGGUGACAGCCCCGUACACAAAAAUGCACAUAUUGUGAGCUCGAUGAGUAGGGCGGGACACGUGGUAUCCUGUCUGAAUAUGGGGGGACCAUCCUCCAAGGCUAAAUACUCCUGACUGACCGAUAGUGAACCAGUACCGUGAGGGAAAGGCGAAAAGAACCCCGGCGAGGGGAGUGAAAAAGAACCUGAAACCGUGUACGUACAAGCAGUGGGAGCACGCUUAGGCGUGUGACUGCGUACCUUUUGUAUAAUGGGUCAGCGACUUAUAUUCUGUAGCAAGGUUAACCGAAUAGGGGAGCCGAAGGGAAACCGAGUCUUAACUGGGCGUUAAGUUGCAGGGUAUAGACCCGAAACCCGGUGAUCUAGCCAUGGGCAGGUUGAAGGUUGGGUAACACUAACUGGAGGACCGAACCGACUAAUGUUGAAAAAUUAGCGGAUGACUUGUGGCUGGGGGUGAAAGGCCAAUCAAACCGGGAGAUAGCUGGUUCUCCCCGAAAGCUAUUUAGGUAGCGCCUCGUGAAUUCAUCUCCGGGGGUAGAGCACUGUUUCGGCAAGGGGGUCAUCCCGACUUACCAACCCGAUGCAAACUGCGAAUACCGGAGAAUGUUAUCACGGGAGACACACGGCGGGUGCUAACGUCCGUCGUGAAGAGGGAAACAACCCAGACCGCCAGCUAAGGUCCCAAAGUCAUGGUUAAGUGGGAAACGAUGUGGGAAGGCCCAGACAGCCAGGAUGUUGGCUUAGAAGCAGCCAUCAUUUAAAGAAAGCGUAAUAGCUCACUGGUCGAGUCGGCCUGCGCGGAAGAUGUAACGGGGCUAAACCAUGCACCGAAGCUGCGGCAGCGACGCUUAUGCGUUGUUGGGUAGGGGAGCGUUCUGUAAGCCUGUGAAGGUGUGCUGUGAGGCAUGCUGGAGGUAUCAGAAGUGCGAAUGCUGACAUAAGUAACGAUAAAGCGGGUGAAAAGCCCGCUCGCCGGAAGACCAAGGGUUCCUGUCCAACGUUAAUCGGGGCAGGGUGAGUCGAUCCCUAAGGCGAGGCCGAAAGGCGUAGUCGAUGGGAAACAGGUUAAUAUUCCUGUACUUGGUGUUACUGCGAAGGGGGGACGGAGAAGGCUAUGUUGGCCGGGCGACGGUUGUCCCGGUUUAAGCGUGUAGGCUGAUUUUCCAGGCAAAUCCGGAAAAUCAAGGCUGAGGCGUGAUGACGAGGCACUACGGUGCUGAAGCAACAAAUGCCCUGCUUCCAGGAAAAGCCUCUAAGCAUCAGGUAACAUCAAAUCGUACCCCAAACCGACACAGGUGGUCAGGUAGAGAAUACCAAGGCGCUUGAGAGAACUCGGGUGAAGGAACUAGGCAAAAUGGUGCCGUAACUUCGGGAGAAGGCACGCUGAUAUGUAGGUGAAGUCCCUCGCGGAUGGAGCUGAAAUCAGUCGAAGAUACCAGCUGGCUGCAACUGUUUAUUAAAAACACAGCACUGUGCAAACACGAAAGUGGACGUAUACGGUGUGACGCCUGCCCGGUGCCGGAAGGUUAAUUGAUGGGGUCAGCGCAAGCGAAGCUCUUGAUCGAAGCCCCGGUAAACGGCGGCCGUAACUAUAACGGUCCUAAGGUAGCGAAAUUCCUUGUCGGGUAAGUUCCGACCUGCACGAAUGGCGUAAUGAUGGCCAGGCUGUCUCCACCCGAGACUCAGUGAAAUUGAACUCGCUGUGAAGAUGCAGUGUACCCGCGGCAAGACGGAAAGACCCCGUGAACCUUUACUAUAGCUUGACACUGAACAUUGAGCCUUGAUGUGUAGGAUAGGUGGGAGGCUUUGAAGUGUGGACGCCAGUCUGCAUGGAGCCGACCUUGAAAUACCACCCUUUAAUGUUUGAUGUUCUAACGUUGACCCGUGAUCCGGGUUGCGGACAGUGUCUGGUGGGUAGUUUGACUGGGGCGGUCUCCUCCUAAAGAGUAACGGAGGAGCACGAAGGUUGGCUAAUCCUGGUCGGACAUCAGGAGGUUAGUGCAAUGGCAUAAGCCAGCUUGACUGCGAGCGUGACGGCGCGAGCAGGUGCGAAAGCAGGUCAUAGUGAUCCGGUGGUUCUGAAUGGAAGGGCCAUCGCUCAACGGAUAAAAGGUACUCCGGGGAUAACAGGCUGAUACCGCCCAAGAGUUCAUAUCGACGGCGGUGUUUGGCACCUCGAUGUCGGCUCAUCACAUCCUGGGGCUGAAGUAGGUCCCAAGGGUAUGGCUGUUCGCCAUUUAAAGUGGUACGCGAGCUGGGUUUAGAACGUCGUGAGACAGUUCGGUCCCUAUCUGCCGUGGGCGCUGGAGAACUGAGGGGGGCUGCUCCUAGUACGAGAGGACCGGAGUGGACGCAUCACUGGUGUUCGGGUUGUCAUGCCAAUGGCACUGCCCGGUAGCUAAAUGCGGAAGAGAUAAGUGCUGAAAGCAUCUAAGCACGAAACUUGCCCCGAGAUGAGUUCUCCCUGACUCCUUGAGAGUCCUGAAGGAACGUUGAAGACGACGACGUUGAUAGGCCGGGUGUGUAAGCGCAGCGAUGCGUUGAGCUAACCGGUACUAAUGAACCGUGAGGCUUAACCUU